UUGAUUUUUAGUAGUACCUGCCCAGUGCGUAUUAUCUUGUUAACGGCCGCCUUAGCGUGAGGGUGCUAAGGUAGCGAAAUUCCUUGCCUUUUAAUUGUAGGCCAGCAUGAAUGGUUUGACGAGGGCCUCACUGUCUCUUAGUUCUAUGUUGAAAUUGUAGUGUAGGUGAAGAUACCUUCAUAAAAAAGUAAGACAAAAAGACCCCGUGCAACUUUGAAAAUUAAGCUAGAUUAAAUGGCAAAAGAUUUUUAGGUGGGGCGCCAAAAGAGGAAACUAUAACCUCUGCUGUUUAAGCUAAUUCUUACUGGAGUUGACCUGACUUAAGUCGAUCAAAGGAGAAGUUACGCCGGGGAUAACAGGCCAAUUCUUUAGUAAAGCUCGUAUUAACUAAAGGGCUUGGCACCUCGAUGUUGAAUCAGGGAUUAUAGCUUCAAGGCGUAGAUGCUUUGAUUAGUAGUCUGUUCGACCUUUGA
rnacentral:rRNA from 1 species